UCGCGGGAAUCCCAGCAAUGGGGGAACCGGCGUAAGGGGCAGUAAGGCGUGGGUACCUGCCCCGGGGUCCGGGAUAGCCGUCCGAGAGGGCGGGUAAUACCGGAUGACCUCGGGAGAGCAAAGCUAAGGCGCCCCGGGAGGGGCCCACGUGGUAUUAGGUCGUUGGCGGGGUAACGGCCCACCAAGCCUGAGAUGCCUAGCGGGUGUGAGAGCACGACCCGCGCCACUGGCACUGAGACACUGGCCAGACACCUACGGGUGGCUGCAGUCGAGGAUCUUCGGCAAUGGGGGAAACCCUGACCGAGCGAUGCCGCGUGUGCGACGAAGGCCUUCGGGUUGUAAAGCACUGUCGAGGGGGAGAAAACCCCGCAAGGGGCUGAUCUAUCCCUGGAGGAAGCUCGGGCUAAGUUCGUGCCAGCAGCCGCGGUAAGACGAACCGAGCGAACGUUGUUCGGAAUCACUGGGCUUAAAGGGCGCGUAGGCGGGCUGCCGCGUCCGGGGUGAAAGCCUCCCGCUCAACGGGAGAACGGCCUCGGAUACGGGCGGCCUCGAGGGGGGUAGGGGCGUGCGGAACUGUGGGUGGAGCGGUGAAAUGCGUUGAUAUCCACAGGAACUCCGGUGGCGAAGGCGGCACGCUGGACCCCAUCUGACGCUGAGGCGCGAAAGCCAGGGGAGCGAACGGGAUUAGAUA
rnacentral:rRNA from 1 species